UGAGCCUGCCUUGGAGAUCUGAAUGCUGUUUUCCUGGGGACACAGGACUUGGUGAGAUCUGUGCAGCUGGAGUUUAUUUAUUGGUAUGAGGUUAGAUUGGAUUCCAGAUCUGUCUAAGAUCGCCUGCCUCGGAUCAGGUUUGAAGUCCGGCCAAGCCUGAGACCUGACUUGCAAGGAAGACAACGGCCUAGGCAAGAAGAAGGCGAGCCUCAAAGAGUCAGAGGCUGACUAAGAAGAUGGAUGGUUCCCUUAGAUCUGAGAAGAAGAAGCAUUAUGAAAUAACAGACCUCAGACCCCAGGGGCACAAAGGAGGAAAUUACACAAACAGAGCAUGGGCUAUGGGAUUGCCGCAUCAUCAGAAACUGACCGAGC